GCCCGACCAGGUCUUCCCCGAAGGCUGGCGGCAGGUGGAUCGGCCAAGGGCGCACAGGCGGAAACCACGUGGCACGUGCAGGCGCACGAGAAUUGCUUCCAGUGAACAUGUGCUUGACAUGCAAGCCCCGUGCUGGGUCCAGGAGGUACAGAUGCGAAGAGAAAUCCGGCAACACAGGCUCUGAGACCCGAGACGAGGACAGGGAAGGCGGCUCAGAUGCUCAUACUACACGUUGAGUCCUUGCAGGUGACAUCCAUCCAUCUCUCCAUUACACCAUGAGGUUGAAAUGGGCUCCGAUGCAUGAUCCUGUCUUCUUUAGCUCUGCUCUUGUCCAUGUUUCUAGUCUGAAGAGAGACAUGUUAAUGUUUACCUCCUUGGAUUGUUCAAGUAAUCAUCACAUUGAAAGAGCAGGAAAGAAAAGGUGAGAAAUAACUCCGGAGUGCAGAGAGGCGCCCCGUGAAGUGAAGAGGAAAUUGCACGGGGCCGACAGAAGACGUGCAGGAUGGCCCUCCACCUCAACGACUGUCACCGUGACUUUCCAAAUCCAUGAAUCUUUUCAUUCAAACUAAUAAUCGUGAAGGGGUCCCUGACUCCUGAUCACAUCAUUCCUGAACGUGUUUACCAUGGAAAGAGGUAAACUCCUCAUUAAGAGGCUCAUUCUGGGGUUUUUAAAAACACAUAUAUUUUAAAUUAAAUUUUGAA